AUACAUAUCUGGCGUAGGAUUACCGUGAUUAUGUAGGCGGUUCCCCCAGAGUGAGGCUGCUCCACUGCACUGCGGAGUGGUUGACCCUGGCGAUUAUUUAUAUUUUUUAUAAGUUUCACUUCUACUGAGUGUGACUUGUGCACCCACACUUUUUUUUAGUUGGAUCUAG